rnacentral:rRNA from 1 species
AGUGAACGCUGGCGGUAGGCCUAACACAUGCAAGUCGAACGGCAGCACAGUAAGAGCUUGCUCUUACGGGUGGCGAGUGGCGGACGGGUGAGGAAUACAUCGGAAUCUACUUUUUCGUGGGGGAUAACGUAGGGAAACUUACGCUAAUACCGCAUACGACCUACGGGUGAAAGCAGGGGAUCUUCGGACCUUGCGCGAUUGAAUGAGCCGAGGUCGGAUUGGCUAGUUGGCGGGGUAAAGGCCCACCAAGGCGACGAUCCGUAGCUGGUCUGAGAGGAUGAUCAGCCACACUGGAACUGAGACACGGUCCAGACUCCUACGGGAGGCAGCAGUGGGGAAUAUUGGACAAUGGGCGCAAGCCUGAUCCAGCCAUACCGCGUGGGUGAAGAAGGCCUUCGGGUUGUAAAGCCCUUUUGUUGGGAAAGAAAAGCAGCAGGUUAAUACCCCGCUGUUCUGACGGUACCCAAAGAAUAAGCACCGGCUAACUUCGUG